UACGUAGGGGGCAAGCGUUGUCCGGAAUCAUUGGGCGUAAAGAGCGUGUAGGCGGCUCGAUAAGUCCGCUGUGAAAGUCCAGGGCUCAACCCUGGAAGGCCGGUGGAAACUGUCGGGCUAGAGUCCGGAAGAGGCGAGUGGAAUUCCCGGUGUAGCGGUGAAAUGCGCAGAUAUCGGGAGGAACACCAAUGGCGAAGGCAGCUCGCUGGGCUGACACUGACGCUGAGGCGCGAAAGCUAGGGGAGCGAACGGG
rnacentral:rRNA from 1 species